CUAGUCCAAGGACAGAUCCUUGCCCCUUGGUUAGUGAAGAAUCCAAGAGAGAUUAGCCUCAUGAGGCCAGUUAGUCUUUACGAUUGCUGCCUGCGGCCUUGUGUUUUAUCUGUAUAUCAUGAAUCAUAGUUUAGCUAAUGUUCUCAAGUGAUGAAGCUUGGACCAUUGGCUCGGAAGGCAGCAAAAUAUUUCUAUUUCAGGUCGCCUUCUUUGUACCAUUUCAUGAAUGACUGCUUAAGAAACAUAUACACGUUAUUAAAAUAAACAUAGAUUGUGCCACACCAUUUAUUCAGAAAUUAUAGUAAUAUGUAUUCUGUAUCAUAUAUCUGUAGCCCUGCAUAUCCAAGUAGAGUAGACUAGUAAUGUAAAUCUACCAAACUCAUAAAAUUUUGAAUUACAACCAGAAGAAUGAAGGAGUAGUGUUUGCUAUUAUGUGAAAGGCAUGAAGAUCUAUCGAAGAUCUGAAAGCUCCAAGUGUGUUAUAAUCUUCAGCAUCUGAAAGAUAUGCAAUCAUGACAAGUAAAAUUUUGGGUUAGAAUAGGAACAUAUCAGUUAUUGUAUAAUUAUAAAAAUAAUGAGCUUAUCAAAAUUAUAUGUGUAUUAAAAAUACAGUGUUUUCCCUUAGGACCAUCCAUAGGCAAGGGUGAAAAUACUAUUUUCAGAUAGUAAAUUGAUAGUUGUUAAACCAAACACUUUUUCUGAAACAUUCCCCACAAAGAAAAAGUGUUUACUAAAGAAUUCAGGGGUAAUAAUUAUUUAUGUAUUAUUUACGUAGCAUUUUCUGUUUUCAGGUAGGUAUUUCAUAUGGAUUCAAUGAAGAAGAUAUGCAUUUACAAACUUCUAAAUAUAAUGAAAUAUUCUGUUAUAUACAUAUACACGGAGUAAAUUUUAUACACAGAACAAUCUACCUAUCACUUAAAAGAAUUAACAAUGGAGAAUCCCUUUCUCAUGUCUCUUAUAGCCUAGUAUAACAAUACUUUUCAAACAUAAAGGUGCAGAGAAACUGAGAUUUCUUUUUUUUCUAGGUUUUUUUGUCAGAGCUUUAGCUCAUCUCCACUUCAAAAGAAAAUGAAUCAAACAAUAAACAAGCAAACAAACAAAUAAAUAAAUAAAUAUUUUUUUAAAAAAUCACAGAAUAACAAAACAAAAAAACAGAACAAACACAGCACUUUAUUCCUCAACCUGAAUAGUCCUGUAUUAAGAUUAGUAUUAGUGGUUUGAAUUCAUUUCUCAAAGACAUACAAAGUUUUACCUACCUAGUCAGAACACCAUAAUUAGCUCAGUCAAGAGAUAUUAUUCUAGCAUGGGCCCAAAAAUUCAUUAGGAAUCUUUGAGCCUGCACUUGCAUCAAACUUCAAACUGCCACUAGUACAGUAUUUGCUGAGUCAUCUCUUCUGUUUGCACAGAGACAAUAUAGUUUGCAAAUAGACAAUAUAGUUUGCAAAAUAUUCUACAUUUCACAGAAGUGGUCAUAGCAAUGUCAUUUACUCAGAAAGCCAAGCAUGUGCGUUAACAUCUGUAGAUUCAAAGCUGCAUCUCUUACUGGAAGAACAAGUCAUUGAGAUAAGUCCUGUGGCAAAGGACUUAGGGGUCUUGAGGAUAAAAAGAUGAACAAGAACCUACAAUGUGCACUUGCGAGCCAGAAGAUCAACUGUACCCUGAGCCGCAUUAAAAGAGGGAUGACCAGCAGGGUAAGAGAGGUGACUGUCCCCCUCUACUCAGCUUUUCUGGGGUCACAUCUGGAGUACUGUGUCCAGGCUGCGGACUUCAACACAGGAAAGACACAGAGAUGUCAGAACUGGGUCCAGAGGAGAGUGACAAAGGUGAUCAGUGUGCUGGAGUACCUCUCCUAUGAAGAAAGUUUGAGGGACAUGGACAUGUUCAGUCUGAAAAAGAGAAGGCUCUUUGGAGAUCUCAUUGUGGCCUUUCAGAACUUGAGGAGAGCCUAUAAAUAGGAGGGAGACUGACUUUUUAAAUGUUCUGAUAAUGGCAUGAAAAGGAGGAAUGGCUUUUACCUAAAAGAGGGGAGAUUUUGUUUAGAUGAUAGGCAGAAAUUCUUUACUCAGAGGGUGGUGAAUCACUGGCACAGGUUUCCCAGAGAAACCAUGAAUAUCUCAUCCCUGGAGGUGUUCAAGGCCAUGUCAGAUGGGGUCCUGGGUAGCCAGUCCUGAUCUAGUGGCUGGCAAUUCUGCUCACGGCAGAGGAGCUGAAAUUAGAUGAUCUUUAAGGUCCCUUCAAACCCAAGUCAUUCUAUGGCUUCUACAAUUCUAUGAAAAUGUCAAAAUUAAUUCAUCUCUAAUUUCUGAGCAUUUCAACAGCAAACACACAGACAAAUCAAUAUAAAAACAUGAAAGAAAAAGUCACCACAGGAAAGGACUGCCUCAAAGCUUCCAAGAUAGGCAUCUGUGUUAUGUGACAGUCCAAGAUAUAUAUUCAGAAACAGGUAUGAUAUAAUCACUUGUUUCUUUCUGUUUUUUUUUUGUUUGUUUGUUUGUUUGUUCCUGUUUACAUCACCUGUUCUGUGAAAUAAUUGAGAGAAACUGACUGAGUAGUUCAUCCUACUUCAGAAUAGGAUCAAGUACCUCCAAAAGUAGGAAGAUCUGUAGGUAUUUGCUGCAUAAUUGUUGCUUUUUACAAGAUGAAUCAACCUGAAAGUCAAUUAGUUUCCGAUUCUAAUCUUAUGGGACUGCUAUUAACUGCAUUUUAGAAAAUAUAGCCUGCUUAUCAUAGCUUUGUUACUGCUCCCACUGAAAUAUCUAGGCAUUUGCAUACUGACUCUAGGGGGAGUUCAGUGAGACUCUUAAAAUAAUUUCUCUUCCACUUUCUUAAUUUUUUCCUGUCCUCCUCUUAGGUCAUAUCAUCCUCCCUCCAUAAUAAGAAAUUGAGGCACUUACAAAAGUGUGGGAGAGACACUAAUACUCCAUAAUUUAAAUAACCUAGUAGUCUAGUUCUACAUUAAAACUUCAGACAAUGUCAACUCCUCAAAAAGAAGCAAUUUUAACUCUUGUUCAUUUGAAGGCAUCUGUUUGACUAACCAAAGACUUUAUUGACUUCUUUUUCUCUUUUGUAAAUGUUUUUUUUUUCUUUUAAUUUAGUUUUAGAUGAGUUUUACAGCAGUAUACUUGCAGUCCGUAAAUGGUGUCCUAGGCUCUAUUUAUAGUAGAGUUACCUAUGUCUGUACUUGGGGGUGCUGAACUGUAUGCUAGAAAUUCCUCUUUUGUUUCACUGUUUAUAAAUGGAAUCUAGGUUAUCAGUUCAGGUAUCAACAGCUACAUUGAUUGUAACUUAAGUUUUUGAAGUCAAGAACUCUAAAUACUCUAAACUUUUUGUGUAAUUUGUACUUGUCUUUGUUCUCCAAAUGUAGCAAGAAUCAGCAAUAAACUCUUGCACAGGCCUGGAUGUGAAGUUGUCCAAGUGCUGUGAAAUAUGACAUUGUGACAAUAUUAAUUCAUUUCUUGGGUGUAAAGUAGCUUUACAACUUGAUGCUCUUAAGAACUUAAUUAGAAUUUUAGAACUUAACUGAAAAUGAGAGUAGACAAAUUAUAUCUUUUAUAUUAUGUGAAAAAAAAGAGACAUUAAGGAAAAAAAAAAAAACCUACAAAAAACCACAAUGCUUUUUGAUGAAAGCAUUCACUGACGUUGCAAACCUAUACCAAAGGAGGUGAAAGAGAAGAAGCCAUUUUGGGAAUACAAAUGUUUUAUUUAAGUAGACUAUCCUAGAGGAAGCAUAAACUGUUUUCAGUCAGAGAAGCAAGAAUUCAUUUUAGCUCCUAUAUGACAAUUUAGUUAAAGUAGUGAAAACAAAAUUUACAAUUUAUGGGUGUUCUUUCCACAUUCUAAAUCAGAUUGUAACUUAG
ensembl:lncRNA